CUCUUAUGUGAAUCACACUCCCAGUUGCAAACCCUCUGGAAGUUCACCCUGAGACUAUUUUUCAGUAAAGAGUAAAAUACUGCAACAGUGGGGGAAAUGAAUUAGCAUCCUAGGUGGACCAACUGAUGAGUCCCUGGAAGAAAAGAGAAAUGAUCUAGGCAGAAAACUGAAGAAUCAGAAACAGAAGAAACAGAAGGUCAGAAAGGAGGCAGUGCAGUAGUCAAGACUCAGCAUUUCUGUGGAAAAGAUCUGUUUGAAGAUAGCGUAUUCAUGACCAAGUCAAGGAACAGCAAGGAAAUGUCAGGAUCUUGGAAUGUAGGUCAUAAUGGAGGAGAGGGAGUGAGUUGUUCACUCAGCAGUCUCCGGGGAUGGAUACAGCUCCAGAAAGAUCAGAGACGUUCCGUGAUUUUGAAAUUUGCUUGAAUGGAGAAACAACACAAAUAGCAUAACCAAUCAACAGAGCCUGGCCCAGCUAGAGUAGGUUCCUGAGUUCAUUGUGCAUGAACAAUGACUAGCAAAGGAAAAGAUGAGUAAAAAGGAGAGUAAAUAGUGAAACAGAAAGUAUUUUAAGAAAAACAGAUUAAGGACCUAUUAACAUCUCAAGAGUACUACUUAAACUCCUAACUAACUCAGCCUUCAGGAAGACGGUGUCUAGGGGAAAGGGCUUAACCUUCCAUAACCUCCAUUUCACCAUCUGCGAAACAAGGAUUAUAAUAAACAGAUCUCAGAGCA